UGACUCAGAUGGUAAAGUAUCUGCCUGCAAUGCAGGAGACUCAGGUUCAAUCCCUGG
rnacentral:tRNA from 1 species